rnacentral:rRNA from 1 species
CCUACGGGAGGCAGCAGUGAGGAAUAUUGGUCAAUGGGCGUCAGCCUGAACCAGCCAAGUCGCGUGAGGGAUGAAGGAUCUAUGGUUCGUAAACCUCUUUUAUAAGGGAAUAAAGUGCGGGACGCGUCCGGCUUCGCAUGUACCUUAUGAAUAAGGAUCGGCUAACUCCGUGCCAGCAGCCGCGGUAAUACGGAGGAUCCGAGCGUUAUCCGGAUUUAUUGGGUUUAAAGGGUGCGUAGGCGGCCUUUUAAGUCAGCGGUGAAAGUCUGUGGCUCAACCAUAGAAUUGCAGUUGAAACUGGGGGGCUUGAGUAUGUUUGAGGCAGGCGGAAUGCGUGGGGUAGCGGUGAAAUGCAUAGAUAUCACGCAGAACCCCGAUUGCGAAGGCAGCCUGCCAAGCCAUGACUGACGCUGAUGCACGAAAGCGUGGGGAUCGAACAGGAUUAGAUACCCCUGUAGUC